UGGAGUAAUGUCUGGGAAACGUAGCCUGAUGGAGGGGGGAGUAACUACUGGAAACGGUAGCUAAUACCGCAUAACGUCGCAAGACCAAAGAGGGGGACCUUCGGGCCUCUUGCCAUCGGAUGUGCCCAGAUGGGAUUAGCUAGUAGGUGGGGUAACGGCUCACCUAGGCGACGAUCCCUAGCUGGUCUGAGAGGAUGAUCAGCCACACUGGGACUGAGACACGGCCCAGACUCCUACGGGAGACAGCAUG
rnacentral:rRNA from 1 species